rnacentral:rRNA from 1 species
CAGCCGUAAACUAUGCGCGUUAGGUGUAUCGGUGACCACGAGUCACCGAGGUGCCGAAGGGAAACCGUGAAACGUGCCGCCUGGGAAGUACGGUCGCAAGGCUGAAACUUAAAGGAAUUGGCGGGGGGAGCACAACAACGGGUGGAGCCUGCGGUUUAAUUGGACUCAACGCCGGACAACUCACCGGGACGACAGCAAUAUGUAGGCCAGGCUGAAGACCUUGCCUGAAUCGCUGAGAGGAGGUGCAUGGCGUAGACGUCU